CCUACGGGCGGCAGCAGUGGGGAAUAUUGCACAAUGGGCGCAAGCCUGAUGCAGCCAUGCCGCGUGUGUGAAGAAGGCCUUCGGGUUGUAAAGCACUUUCAGCGGGGAGGAAGGCGUUAAGGUUAAUAACCUUGGCGGUUGACGUUACCCGCAGAAGAAGCACCGGCUAACUCCGUGCCAGCAGCCGCGGUAAUACGGAGGGUGCAAGCGUUAAUCGGAAUUACUGGGCGUAAAGCGCACGCAGGCGGUCUGUCAAGUCGGAUGUGAAAUCCCCGGGCUCAACCUGGGAACUGCAUUCGAAACUGGCAGGCUAGAGUCUUGUAGAGGGGGGUAGAAUUCCAGGUGUAGCGGUGAAAUGCGUAGAGAUCUGGAGGAAUACCGGUGGCGAAGGCGGCCCCCUGGACAAAGACUGACGCUCAGGUGCGAAAGCGUGGGGAGCAAACAGGAUUAGAUACCCGGGUAGUC
rnacentral:rRNA from 1 species